GUUGACACACAAAAAUAUAAUAGUGGCAGACAAAUAAAUACGGUUCACACAGAUGUGCCUGUCUAUUGCGGAUGUUAUAAUGUGUUAUAAUGUGCCUGUGUUGUACCCCUGAAAAGGGGAGAAGAUUAAUACACAAAACUCGCACACUGUUUUUCCACUGCAAGCUUUAUGUAGAAUGGAGAAAACCCGUGAGCCCUCCCCCUAGUGUUAACGCAGACCAGAACAAUCGAUCUUCCAACUUAUCUUUCCUAUAAACUGAUCCCAGAUAAACUCAGUAUAACUAUAAACUACAUAUUUAUUUUUUUUAGAGACUUUUCUACGUAUUGAAAAUAGUGAAUCUAAUUAUACAUCACCAUGUACACAGACAUGUGCAUGUGCAAGAAUUUCUAUUCAGUCUUUUCACAGUCCAUGGCUCGUCCCGAACUUAAUUGUUAACUUUAUAGAAAACAAAUCAAGAGCUUAUCGGGAAGAACAGUCCAUACAAAUAAAAAAGUUCAAAGAGGCAUGAAACAACAGUCCAUAUUCCAUUUUGAGUUCAGGAAUAACAGCCUCUCAAGCCCACAGUCCAUAAGGCAAACAGCCCAUUGUUAUUUCCAAAAUGUCAAAGUUCAAAACUGUUAAAGGCAAUAUUCCUCAGACAAAACAGUCCAUAUUUUGUUCAAAGUGCCAGACCGUAACAGUCUGUAAUGCAAAAGGUCUUCUGAUUUCAAGGUCACCAUCUCGUAUGAACUUUAACCGUCCAUGGUCCUUAUUUAGUGGACUGUAUACACCAAAGGCAACUGGUAGCAGUAUUGCUGAAGAGGUGGCAACCAUGGCGACAGGCACUGCGCAGGCAUGUAAAGUAGGUCCUGUUGUGGUGUUUGCAAGAUCCCAUGUCGUUGCUUGACAUCAUAAGACGGUGCACCAAGUUCAUCAUAGGUUAGUACUCUUGGUGGGUGUCUUUCCCUUUUAGGCAACUGGUACAUUUGCUCUUUUUGACUCUCCUGAUCACUUUCAGCAGGCGACAUAGGAGCAGGAACUUGUUCAUCGGCAGGUAAGCUAAACUCUUGUUCUGCACUGUCAGUCCCUGCAGGUGGCUCUUGUUCCUCUUGGUCAUUUUCCACAGAUGACAUGGACUCAGGAACCUGUUCCAGGGCCUCAUUUGGGUGCUCAUCGGCCUCUGAGGUAAGUAGUGGUUCAAGGGUUUCAGGUUCAUCAAUAUAGCCUGAUUGAAUCACUUGUGGAGACACAUAAUGAGUCCAAUUCAUCUUCACUCCCCUCCUCAGACUCCAUAUCAUAACUUUGAGGCUUUGUCAACUCGCGUUUCUGUCAGGGUUUUGGAUGCGGAGCAGUUUCGAGAGGUGGGUGGUCACAAGGCAUUAAUACAUUGCAAUGGAGGACUCUGGAUCGUCCCUUUCCCCUUUCCGGGUUAACUUCAUAAAUUGGAAGCUCACCACCCAUCUGUCGCACAACUGUAUGGAUGCUAUCUUCCCAGAAAUUGCGAAGUUUACCCUGGCCUCCUCGUGGUGUUAAGUUCUUUACAAGGACACGAUCACCUGGCUGCAGUCUGGUGCUCCUCACCUUGUUGUCAAAGUUAUUUUUGCUCCUGUCUGCAGAUUUUUUAGCACACUCUCUGGCAAUUUUAUAUGCCUCUACCAUUGCAUGUUUCCAUUUUUCUACAUACUCUUUCUGGUUACAGGAAGGCAUUUCUGAAUUCAACCCAAACAGCAUGUCAACAGGUCUCGAAGACCUCCCAUAUAACAGGUAGAAAGGAGAGAACCCUGUGACUUCUGAGCGGGUACAACUGUAAGCAUACAGAAGCUUAUUCAAGGAGUCUUUCCAGUUAGACUUUUGACUUUCUGUGAGUGUUCUGAGCAUCUGUAAUAGUGUCCUAUUGAAACGCUCGGCUUGGCCAUUGCCUAGCGGGUGGUAUGGGGUUGUUCUGGAGCCUGUUCAAACAAUUGAUUCUCAAACUCCCCACCUUGAUCAUGGUGGAUGCGAGAGGGGAAGCCAAAAUGGCCCAUUUCAUCAUGAAGCUCUCACAAGACUGUUCCUUUAUAUGUCUCGGGCAGGACCAACUGUGUGCGGGUGGGAGUGGUUCGGCAGAGGACACCAUCCUUAUCAAUGGUAAGUUUUCUCCAUUCACGAAACAGGCAUUUUGUUUUUAGGCUAUAUGUCUUGAGCUGUUUCACUCGUGGUUUUAAUUCAGACAACUUACAUUGAUAUACAGGACUAAUUUCCUGGUCAUUGAUUUGAGCUUCUCUAAUCUCAUUUACAGACAAUGGGGUUAUGGGUGGUAUCUGAUUGUGAAGUGGAAAUCUGCCAAUUCAGCCACCCACCUGCAGCCUGUAGCAUUCAACUUGGCAGUUGACAGGACAUACGUAAGGGGAUUGUUGUCACUAAAAACGGUAAACGUUGGGGCAUAAUACAAGUAAUCACGGAAUUUUUCAGUGACUGACCACUUCAGAGCAAGAAAUUCAAGCUUGCCUGAGUGUAGGUGGUACUUUUUCUCAGCAGCAGAUAAAGUACGAGAUCCGUAGGCAAUCACACAAAGUUUCCAUUUUGGUUCUGGUACAAUACACCACCCAAGCCUUGGGCUGACGCGUCUGUAUGCAGGACGAAAGGCUGUGAAAAGUCAGGGAAUGUUAAUACAGGGGGCUGGAGAAGAUCAAUUAGUUGCUCAAGAGUGUUCUGAUGCUGACCUGUCCAGGUAAUAAGCUUACUAGAUGGAACACCAGUUUUCAUGCAUUUUGUCUUUGGCUUCCUCUGAUUGUCUCUCAUGUGAGCAUUAUCUUCUGGAGUGCUUUUUAACAGGUCGUACAAAGGGCUAGCGAUGCGAGAGAAAUCUUUAAUGUACUGCCUGUAGUAGCUAAGUAGACCAAGAAUUCUCCUCAACUCACUGAAAUGUUUUGGAUGUUUGUCUUUCAGGUAUCUGACCGCUUCUGUGUCUGCAGGAUCAACUUUACUUCCCUCUGCAGAGACUAUUCUACCCAGAUAGCAGACUUCAGGUUUGAAAAGCUCACACUUCUUUGGCUUGAGUUUGAUGCCAUGUUCCUUAAGCCGUUGCAGCACUUUCUUUACAUCCUGGACAUGGUUCUCAAAGGUGUCAUCAAGGUAUGGGAUGCAUAUCUCGUCUCGCAGGCCUUCUAAGCACUCUUCCAUACACCGCUGCAGGAGCAUUCAUCAGCCCAAAAGGAAUUCGCACCCAUUCAUAUAGACCCCAGGGUGUCACGAAAGCCGUUAGGUGCUUACUUUCCCUUGACAUGAACCCCUGGUGGUAGGCCUUCCCAUGGUGUAAUGAUGAGAACCAAGAAUUGCCACCAAGGCUGUCCAUGAUAUCCUGAACUCUUGGAAUCGGUUGUCUAUCUGGUUGAGUCUUUCGGUUUAAGUCUCUAUGAUCAAUGCAUAAACGAAGGCUGCCAUCUUUCUUUCUUACGCACACGAUUGGAGAUGAAUAUGAUGAGUUGGAUUUUUCAAUCCAUCCUUGUGCUAUGAGGUCAUGCAAAUAUUAUUUCAUCUCACGAUACAGGGGUUUUGGCACAGACAAGUAACUGCGACUGACUGGCUCCUCAUCUUUAAGUGAGAUACUCAAUUGCAAAUCUCUGAUGCACCCAAUGUCAUCGUCUGACUUAGAAAAUGAAUGGCAUACUUCUCUUAGCAUUUGCUGUACUACCUGUCUCUGGUAUUUACUCAAGUGGCUGACAUCGACGGGCGGGUCCCAUUCAUCUGUGCUGGUGUGGUCACGACAGUUAUCCGCAGCCUGGAUGUGACAUACUCCAACAGAGGUAGGGUUUGCUGGCACCUCCAACAUACUAGCAGGUAGGACAUUCUUGACAAGCUGUACUGUAGCGAUCGGAGUCUGGCCCAUAAGAGGUACAUCAUGGUCAGUGUCAUUGUACACCUCAAUUGUGAUAUUUGUUGGAGCCCCUUUUGUCAGCCUCACUAGACUGUCUGUGAACUCAAGCCCUUCCGGCCACUGGUGAUUCACAUCAGGUUAAAAAAUGAACGUGCUGUCCUCUUUAACUGGCUGUAUAUACACUCGGCAUGAGACCUGCACAGUACUACGUUUGGGGAUGUUAACAUGCCCUUUUGUGGUCUUUACUGUGUAUUCACUUGAGCUUUCUGCACUCAGAAGUUGAAUGAAUGCCUGGACUUUGCUCCUCUUUAGGCUGGGGAAUGCAGUUUUCACAGUUCUCUCAAGUAUGUUGUUAUUUGCGGUGUUUGGUUGUGCCUGUGCAAUGGAGUUCACGAUUUGAAACCUAUGAGAGGGUGGGAGAGGUUUUGACCCCUUGCUACGAGCACAGGAAUGAUAAGUUCAGCUUCGUGAGUUGCAUGUGAUGAUAAUUUGAAUGUCACUUCAACAUACCCAAUAUAGGGCAUAUCAAUGCCGUUGGCAGCUACAAGGUUCAACGUAUUUGGAGCCUCAAGAAUGUCAGACACAUCCCUCAAGGGUACUUCUGGUAAGUACUCCUGUUUCCACACUUCAUCAAUGACACAUACCUGAGAGCCAGUGUCCCACAGUGCUUGAAAUCGUUGGCCGUGCAGGUAACAUUCAACGAGACAUUGCCUCCCAACUAAUGACGUCACUGGGUAAUGCUGGUUAACCUGGGUGCUGCAAGGGGUGUGAAUACUCAUUGUCAUAGAGAAGUUUGACGCUGAUCUUGUUACGUUGAUGCAAAUUUACUUAUGUUCAGCCCAAUGGUGAGUUUGGCAGGUCUUAGAACAAUACAGUAUUUUUUUACAUUGUGAACACUGCUUCAUCUGCCUAUCUGUCCUUCCACAGGCUGCACAUCCCCGGGACUGAUCAGUAGAUCUGGUUACUCCCUGUCCCGCGGAAGUAACCAGUCUCCGUUUAAAGGAGUCUCUCUUGAAGGCUUAAUGCCACAAAUUCUGCAUCCCGCUUGGAAGUGCUCACCACUGCCACAUCGAAAACAAUGCAUGCAAUGGUCCUCUGUUCUUUGUUGCUAACAUUUGAAGCACUUUCUUGUUUGGGAACGAGGAGUCGGUGCAUAAUACUGCCAAGGCAUAUACUGCAGUUGAAAUUGAGUGUUUACUCUUGUUUGGUUGGCACCCGGUGAUGUCCAAUAGGGCUGCACUUGACACUGAACAAUUUCUCUGUCAGACGUUCUCUGUGAAGGAAUGGGAAAUUGUGGUGAGGCAAAGGCUGGUUGCCACAAUGAUUCCCUGAUGUGAGCUAUUUCAGCAUUGAGUGUUUUUAGUGAAGCUACAUCAGUUCUCAGCUCUUCGUAUAGCACGUCGAAAGAUGAUUUCUGCACACUUUGAGUCACACACACUGGUUUCUUCUCAGUCACUUCACCUCUGGACUUAACUGCAUGGACAACUGUAGGUGUGUGCUGCACAUUGGUUUUCUUUUUCUUUUGUCUUUCUGCCUCGUUAGCACAAGCAUUGUUUAAUUUCUCCAACAGAGCCUCAUCAGUGGUUUUGGGGUCCAGAAGUAGGGGCUGCAUGUCUACUUUUAUGCUUUCACUUUGGAGACUGGUGAGUACAGUAUGUAAGAACAUGCUUUGAACUAAUGCUGGAUCAUAUUUGAGGCCUGAUUCUGCUUCUUGGGAUGCAAACAGGAUUUUCUGGCGCAGGUCAAGAACACGCAUAAGGAAAUUCUGUGGUGUGUCUUUGUUUCCUUGGCAUUCAGAGGUAAGUAGUUUAUAAAGUUCAGUUGCACUUUUUUCUUGGAAGUGAGAGCGCAGAAUUCGUCUUAAGGUAGGUAGAGUCAGGUUUGAUUUUCCUUCUAGAUAGCUUCUUAACUGUAAGCCUGGGGAAAUGGCACGAAUUUGGUGUGCUAAACUUGAAAAAAAUAAUUUAUCUUUUUUACCUGGGUCACCAAUUUGUCCAGAAAUUUUGAAAUCUUUGCGCCAAGGUGGGCUGGGGUGUUGGGUAUUCACUAAAUGUUGUGGGUAUGCAGCAAUUUCAAGCUGAGGCUGGACAACACUGGGUUUUGUGUUCACUUCCUCCAGCUGUUGAAUUUCACCCAAUUUUAGUUUCAUUGCGCUUUUUAGCUCAUCUAACUCCCUUUGCAAUCCAUCUUUUUCUGUGACUUCACUUGGCCCUGCGGUCUCCUUUUCAGUGACUGUAUUUACUUCUAUAAUUUGAUCUCUCAGGCUUAACAGUACAGACAUGCCGCCAUCUUCUAGUUCCGUCAUGUCUUCUUCGAGAUGUUGAAGAAUUUGAGAGAUCAAAGACAUGCGAGAUUUAGAUGAAAUAUUCUCUUGAUCUGCUAUUCUAAGGAACUCACAAACACUAAGAAGCUUUUCUUUGGGUAAUGGGUUUAGCAUGGCGAUAAUUUCAACUUGUAUGUCCUAGCACCGUUGUCUCCAUUUUGACAAUAGAGUGGGCCUUUCCACUGAGUUGGGGCUUACUUGAGACUGACUGAACUUUGGUUUCACCUGAUGAUCUCUGUGGCCUCAGGUUUCUGGUUCUUUGCCUCUGUCUUGCCUUUACUGCAGGGACUCUAUCCACUCUCCACUGUUGAUCUGGGUUGUUUUAGGGGAUGUACUGCAUCAGGAAGUGUCGGCCAGGUAAGUGACGACUGCCCUCCGAAGAGUAUCUCUCAGCAGUGCCUCCAAAUGUUGUACCCCUGAAAAGGGGAGAAGAUUAAUACACAAAACUCGCACACUGUUUCUCCACUGCAAGCUUUAUGUAGAAUGGAGAAAACCCACGAGCCCUCCCCCUAGUGUUAACGCAGACCAGAACAAUCGAUCGUCCAACUUAUCGUUCCUAUAAACUGAUCCCAGAUAAACUCAGUAUAACUAUAAACUACAUAUUUAUUUUUUAUAGACUUUUCUACGUAUUGAAAAU
ensembl:lncRNA